rnacentral:lncRNA from 1 species
CUUUUCUCAUCUCUGAAGAUACUGAUGAUGUGGUCUCUGAAGUUCUCUUCUCUUUGCAAAGCUUGUACUUGGACUAGUUAUCUGGUACCAUGUAACAAAUUACCCCCAAGCGCAGCAGCUUAAAACAGCAAAUGUUUUUUGCCUCGAGUUUCUGUGGGCCAGGAAUCUGGUAGGGCCUGUCUGGGUGGGGACCUCUCACGAAUUUGCAGUCAGUGUGUCAGCCAGGGCUGGAGUCAUUUAAGCCGUGCCUGGGGAUGCAGGGUCUGCCUCCAGGCUCAGUCACGUCGAUGGCUGCAGGACUGGGUCCCUCACCAUAUGGGCCUCUCUGUAUGGCUACUUGACGUGGCACUUGGCUUUCCCCAAAGUGAGCAAUGGGAAGGAGAGAACCAGGAUGGAAGCUGCAGUGUUUUUUGGAACCUAAUCUCAAAAUUGCAGGAAGUAGCUCGAGGCGUUGCCGAUGGAGCAGCCGUGACUUUGCUGCCGGCUUGUCCUGCUCCCUUGCAGACGUGGGGCUGCGGUGGCGCGUUUGAGGUCCGCCCCUGCCGCUGGAGUCAGAGCUGCGCCCUCUCUCUUACUGAGUGCUGGUCCACGUAUGACGGACGGGUGACGGAGUGUUUAUCCAGCUUCCUGCUGAGGGACACCUGGUUGUCCCCAGUUUUUGGCGAAUGUGAGGGAAGCUGCUAGGAACGUCCCGGUCACCCUGUCUACGGUGUGCAAGCAGACUGAGACAGCACCGUUACGGAGUAACUGCAGGCUUCACAUAAGAGAUGAAGCGAGAAGGCGUCCAGGCUUCCCUUCGGACCCCUACCUCCCGAGACAGAACUGAGGCCCCGUGUGCUUGGAGGGAAAGGAUGCUCCGGGCUGGCUGGGCUCCCUGGUGGACCCAGAGCACAGGCUGUGGUCUCCGCUUGGAGAUGGUUGUGCUGCCGGAAGAAGCAGCUGGUCUUUUGUUGGAGAAGAAACAUGGGGAUGAUGAGCACAGGUGGCCAACGUCGUCAUGGAGGGACUCGGUCUCUCUCCGCAGCAUCCAGAGCAGAGGAAGGAGCUCGGGGUAGAAGGCCGGUCCUGGUCCUGAAGCCACCCUGUUCCUGAGGGUCCUUCAUCGCUGCUCGUGUCCUUGCAGGAGGACAUGGUGCUUGGGCCCUACAACGCCCGGAGGAGCUGCCGGGAUGCCGAGCGCCUUGCAAGGGAACCGGAGCCAGAGUGAUGGGCGUCCUGGGGGCUCCUGGUGUGGAAAGGGCCUCUGUCGGCCGCCUGCUGGCAGCUGCUUUGUCUCCCUCCACUGGUUCUCUGCUCUGACUCCAUUUCUAAGGCUUUUCUUAAAUCAGCCCCUGGCAGGUGAGAUGGCUUGGAGUUUUAUGAGAUUUUACACUCCCCAGAGGUGAAUAAUAGGGACUUUUCAUCACUGAGUUUCCUGACAACACCUUCCAUUGAACCAUCAAUUUCCGAACAACACCUGGGAUAUGCAAACUCUGUUUUCAAGCACGUCCUGGGGCUGGGAUACGUGACAAGAGGUGGAGGGCGAGUUUCCUGAGAAAAAAAUCAGCCGUGCGUUUUGGGUACAUAAAAGACAGGUUGAGGUUUCUUUUCAUGGGAAGGAGGUGGGGGGACUGAGGGGGGAGAUAUUGAAACCCACCAGCCGUGAAAGAGUGGAGAGAGGAGAGAGCAGGAGAUGAAGAGGAGAAAGUGAAGUGAGAGGGAGAACGAGCGAGAGAGCGAGCGGGAGACGGAGACGACCGGCUAAUCAAAGAGGCAGGUACAGGAGGUGAAAUGCUUUCACAGGAGGCGCAGGAGGGUCUGUCUCAAUGGAGGAUGGCAAGUGGUUGUGGAUGCUGUGUGAGUCUCCGACAACAUGCGUCACACUGCUGCACACAAACCGUUCACGUCUGUGCUCACUGGACGUCGGUUCCGGGCCCAAGUUGGGGCCUCUUGCCACCCCCUCUACCUGGCCCCAUCUGCCUACCAGGUGGGGACCCCUCCCCCGUUAGGCGAGGCUUUGUCACGAGCGGCCAGUUCCAGCAGGGGCGGCCACCCCUCCUCCCCUCACCCCUGCCCAGGUGGCUGCUGAGUCCAGGCAGCAAGCGCUUAAUUGAGAGACAUACGAACUGGAGGAUGUCAGGAGGGUGGGAAAGCAAGAUGCCCAGGGCCUGGGCCCCAGGAAGUAAAGGAAGCAGAGAGAAGAGCGGGAUGAGAGAACCAAGUCUGGGCGCCCUUCCUGCCCCUGGGGUCCUCCUCGCUCUCGGGAGGCCCCUCCAGCUUCCGUGGCUGGGCCGGGCUGUUGGUGGACCCAGCAGCAGAAGGAGGGCAGUAAGUCGUAGCCGAGGGAUGGGGCAGCCAGAACGGGUGAGGCUGCAGUGAGCAGAGACCUGGCCGUAGCCAGGAAGGAGUCCAGGGUCUGCAGGGGAUGAGUUGCGAAGCUCAGCCCUGGGCUGCGUGUGGGAGGAGCUGGCGUCCAGGUCCUGGUGAUGCUGAGCUGGGCGGGGCCCCCCUUGCACCUGGAUUUGAUAUGAGUUACAGAGGAUGCCUGGUUCCCUUAUCUACCAACGUGUGCCGUUCAUGCUGUGGGCACGCAUGUGGCUUGCGUCAGCUCUAUUUCUGGCCAUUUCAGUUCUAGUUUUCUCCUACACACAUUGGUGCAAACUGGGGAACAGAAAGACGUUUUCUGCUCUCUAACUCACGUUCCCUACAAAAUGGUGUUUCCUGGGAGUAGCUUCUUGUGGGCGCGUUCUCCAGCAGAGACGGGCUGGCUUAUAAAGUGAGACUCCAGGGACACUGGCUGUGUGGCAAAGAACUUAACCUUGUCUAGGGAGAGGUCUGGCCUUUGCCUUCAGCCCUGGAAGGUAAUCUCCAAACCCUUGGAAGGUCCUGGUCUCUGUUUGCCUGGGGGCUCUGGGUCACACUGACAAAGUGAUUUAAGGUGGGGCUCAGGGUCACGUGGUAUCAACUCAACCUCUAGAGGAGCUGGAGACCGAGGUCAGCCUCCUGGGCACCAAACGGGCCUCCUUGGUGAACCCCAAUAAAGGCUCUGGACACCAAGACUCGGGGACCUUCCUGCCUGGCAAUGCUCCGUGGGUGUCGUCACACAUGGAUGCCAGGGAUGCGAUGCUGUCCUGACUCCAUGGAGGGAGCAAAACAGAAUCCCUGCAUGUUGUAUUUUCCUGGGCUCUUCGGUUGACUUUACUCCACGUCUUUUCACUGUAAUAAACCAUAACUGUGAACAUAGCAGAUUUCCUGAGCUCUGUGAGUCCUGCUAGCAAAUUGCCAAACCUGGGGGUGGUUUUGGGGACUCUCGAACCUGCACCUGGUGUCAGAAGCGAGGGUGGCCUGUGCAUGGUUUCCUGACUUCACACGGGCACCGUAGGGUGUUCCCUCGGUCUCUGCACCCCCUCACUACUCCUGGCCAACAGUAGCUCUCCAGCUCAUCUCCCUGUUUCCUCUCACCCAGUUUGUUCUCUCGCUGCAGCCAGCGUGAGCUUUUAAAACCGCU